GUGGAUAACCUACCUAUAAGACUGGGAUAACUUCGGGAAACCGGAGCUAAUACCGGAUAAUAUUUUGAACCGCAUGGUUCAAAAGUGAAAGACGGUCUUGCUGUCACUUAUAGAUGGAUCCGCGCUGCAUUAGCUAGUUGGUAAGGUAACGGCUUACCAAGGCAACGAUGCAUAGCCGACCUGAGAGGGUGAUCGGCCACACUGGAACUGAGACACGGUCCAGACUCCUACGGGAGGCAGCAGUAGGGAAUCUUCCGCAAUGGGCGAAAGCCUGACGGAGCAACGCCGCGUGAGUGAUGAAGGUCUUCGGAUCGUAAAACUCUGUUAUUAGGGAAGAACAUAUGUGUAAGUAACUGUGCACAUCUUGACGGUACCUAAUCAGAAAGCCA
rnacentral:rRNA from 1 species